rnacentral:rRNA from 1 species
UACGUAGGGUGCGAGCGUUAAUCGGAAUUACUGGGCGUAAAGUGUGCGCAGGCGGCCGCGCAAGUCGAGUGUGAAAGCCCCGGGCUUAACUUGGGAAUUGCGCUCGAAACUACGUGGCUGGAGUGUGGCAGAGGGAGGUGGAAUUCCACGUGUAGCGGUGAAAUGCGUAGAGAUGUGGAGGAACACCAAUGGCGAAGGCAGCCUUCUGGGCCAACACUGACGCUCAUGCACGAAAGCGUGGGGAGCAAACAGG